rnacentral:rRNA from 1 species
GAUAAACGCUGGCGGCGUGCCUAAUGCAUGCAAGUCGAACGGGCGUUCUUCGGAGCGUGACCGUGGCGGACGGGUGAGGAGCACGUAGCUAACCUGCCCUGGUGUGGGGGAUAUCCUUCGGAAACGGAGUGUAAUACCGCAUACGCUCACUUGAGGGGACUUGAGUGAGGAAAGCCGAGAGGCGUACCAGGAGGGGGCUGCGUCCGAUUAGCUAGUUGGUGGGGUAACGGCUCACCAAGGCGAUGAUCGGUCGCUGGUCUGAGAGGACGAUCAGCCACACGGGGACUGAGACACGGCCCCGACUCCUACGGGAGGCAGCAGCAAGGAAUUUUCCACAAUGGGCGCAAGCCUGAUGGAGCAACGCCGCGUGGGGGAUGACGCACUUCGGUGUGUAAACCCCUUUUCGAGGGGACGAAGGCAAUGACGGUACCC